rnacentral:lncRNA from 1 species
CCCCGCUGGAGCCAGCAGAGCGGGCGAGCCUGGCCUCGGAGGGGAGCAGCCCGGGCCAGCAGCUGCCGGCAGAGGAGGCUUCAGCCGCGCUCCGGGACGCGGAGGGACAGACGGGGUCGGUCAGUAAAAGGGAGGAGCCGGAGGGCACCGAGCCGCUGCCUGCAGGAGAGGAGGAGAGCUCCGAGCUGCCCUCCGUGUGGCGAGAGGAGAGCAGGGGCCCCUCCCCGCCAGCGCCGGGAGAAGAUGCUGGGGCACCAUCGCCAGAACCAGCAGAGGACAGUGGGCUGGCAGAGGGCAGUGACAGCUCUCUAGUGGAAGUCGUCGAGAAAGUACAUAUUGCUGAAGAGGAGCACCUCGCUGAGGGUGAGACGGGAGAACAGGUGGAAACUGAGCUGCUCAGUGAGACAGUAAGUGAAGGGCCUGAAACAAAAGAAGAAGAAACAGGAGAAGCUGUGGAUAGUGCAGCAGCGACAGAGAUAGGAUUUACUAUCCAUGAAGUGCCUGCCUCUGUGCCAAAUCUGACUGGAAGGAU